GAUGAACGCUAGCGGAAGGCUUAAUACAUGCAAGUCGAGCGGUAGGUGGCUUCGGCCAUUGAGAGCGGCGCACGGGUGAGUAACGCGUACAUGACCUGCCUGUCAGAAGGGGAUAGCCCUGGGAAACUGGGAUUAAUACCCUAUGGUAUUGAUAUUAUGAAUGAUAUCAAUUAAAGUUGAGGCGCUGACAGAUGGAUGUGCGUCUGAUUAGCUAGUUGGUAGGGUAACGGCCUACCAAGGCGACGAUCAGUAGGGGGCGUGAGAGCGUGGUCCCCCCACACGGGUACUGAGACACGGACCCGACUCCUACGGGAGGCAGCAGUAAGGAAUAUUGGUCAAUGCCCGCAAGGGUGAACCAGCCAUUCCGCGUGGAGGAUGAAGGCCCUAUGGGUUGUAAACUUCUUUUAGAUGGGAAGAAAUGCUAGAUGUAUCUGGUACUGACGGUACCAUCAGAAUAAGCACCGGCUAACUCCGUGCCAGCAGCCGCGGUAAU
rnacentral:rRNA from 1 species